GUUCCUCUCAAUGGAAAAUCCAAUGUUGAAAGUUUCCCACCACUAACUUGAAAUGUGAACCAGACAGACAGCCCUUAUGAUCUGACAGCCUAUUCCUCUUGCUGGCCGAAAACUUUACUGCUCCUCUAUAGUUUGAGACGGGUGUUGACUUUGUGACUUCAUCUUUACACUGUAUUAUACAACUUUAAAUACAUUUAAACUUUUCCAUCAUCAUCUCCAACAUUAUCACAUGAAGUGUGUUUUUUAUCUUACUGGUGGAGACUGGUAGAGCUCAAUUAUUGUAAUUACAUUUUUUUCCAUUCAUU